CUCUGGGUUCUUCUUGGGGGUGAGGUUGGUGUCUGGCCCCAGCAGCCCAGACUGAGCCUCUCUCUCUCCAGCCUUCCCCCCAAUGCCCGUGCCCCCUGCGGGCUUUGCUGGGCUGACCCCAGAGGAGCUACGAGCUCUGGAGGGCCAUGAGCGGCAGCACCUGGAGGCCCGGCUGCAGAGCCUGCGUAACAUCCACACAUUGCUGGACGCCGCCAUGCUGCAGAUCAACCAGUACCUCACCGUGCUGGCCUCCUUGGGCUCCUCGCUCAGCGCUCUCACCAACAGCCGUAGCCCGCAGCCCCGCUGGACACCGGUUCUCCAUCCCCGCAGCGUAGCCCGGAACAUGGUAGCUGCCAUCUUUACCUGCUACGCCAGCCUUCUGUGCGCGCAACUGUCUGGUCCCGCCCCCUCCUGCGCGAGCUGCCUGCCCAGGCAGGUUCGCCGGUGCGAGCGUAAAGGGGCGGAGCUAGGACUGCCUUGGGCGGUACAAAUAGCAGGGAACCGCGCGGUCGCUCAGCAGUGACGUGACACGCAGCCUGCGGUCUGUACGGACGCGGCCUCGCUUCUUCCUCUUUCUCGACUCCAUCUUCGCGGUAGCUGGGACCGCCGUUCAGUCGCCAAUAUGCAGCUCUUUGUCCGCGCCCAGGAGCUACACA
rnacentral:sRNA from 1 species